rnacentral:rRNA from 1 species
UACGUAGGGGGCGAGCGUUAUCCGGAUUCAUUGGGCGUAAAGCGCGCGUAGGCGGCCGCCUAAGCGGAACCUCUAACCCCGGGGCUCAACCUCGGGCCGGGUUCCGGACUGGGCGGCUCGAGUGCGGUAGAGAAGAGCGGAAUUCCCGGUGUAGCGGUGGAAUGCGCAGAUAUCGGGAAGAACACCGAUGGCGAAGGCAGCUCUCUGGGCCGUCACUGACGCUGAGGCGCGAAAGCUGGGGGAGCGAACAGG